CAUUUAGUUGGGCACUCUAAGGUGACUGCCGGUGACAAACCGGAGGAAGGUGGGGAUGACGUCAAAUCAUCAUGCCCCUUAUGACCUGGGCUACACACGUGCUACAAUGGACGGUACAAAGAGCUGCAAGACCGCGAGGUGGAGCUAAUCUCAUAAAACCGUUCUCAGUUCGGAUUGUAGGCUGCAACUCGCCUACAUGAAGCUGGAAUCGCUAGUAAUCGCGGAUCAGCAUGCCGCGGUGAAUACGUUCCCGGGCCUUGUACACACCGCCCGUCACACCACGAGAGUUUGUAACACCCGAAGUCGGUGGGGUAACCUUUUUGGAGCCAGCCGCCUAAGGUGGGACAGAUGAUUGGGGUGAAGUCGUAACAAGGUAGCCGUAUCGGAAGGUGCGGCUGGAUCACCUCCUUU
rnacentral:rRNA from 1 species